rnacentral:lncRNA from 1 species
AUGUCCACUUUCUAACUAUUACAAUUACAAGACUUUACUCUUCUUGACUUCUCUGUCUAGCCCGUACCUGCAAUCCUGGGGGAUUAGGGAAAAGGGGUGAGCUACUAGAGCCCAGUGAGCAGAAUGAUAGAAAACAACAUUUAAAUCUCAUGCCAUCAUGUAAUGCAACACAUCACAACAAAUCACAUCUCGGAUGGUAUUGUCACCAAUAGUCCUCUACAUUCCAAAGUGCCGGGACGUAGAAUGGGUACAAUCGGUCUUUCUCUUAACAUAACAUAUCAUGCAUACCAAUGUGCUAGGGACGUAGAAUGGG